UAGAGUGUGUCAGAGGGGGGUAGAAUUCCACGUGUAGCAGUGAAAUGCGUAGAGAUGUGGAGGAAUACCGAUGGCGAAGGCAGCCCCCUGGGAUAACACUGACGCUCAUGCACGAAAGCGUGGGGAGCAAACAGGAUUAGAUACCCUGGUAGUCCACGCCCUAAACGAUGUCUACUAGUUGUCGGGUCUUAAUUGACUUGGUAACGCAGCUAACGCGUGAAGUAGACCGCCUGGGGAGUACGGUCGCAAGAUUAAAACUCAAAGGAAUUGACGGGGACCCGCACAAGCGGUGGAUGAUGUGGAUUAAUUCGAUGCAACGCGAAAAACCUUACCUACCCUUGA
rnacentral:rRNA from 1 species